rnacentral:rRNA from 1 species
UACGGGGGGAGCAAGCGUUGUUCGGAUUUACUGGGCGUAAAGGGCGCGUAGGCGGUCGUGACAUGUCACUUGUGAAAUCUCCGGGCUUAACUCGGAACGGUCAAGUGAUACUGUCGGACUAGAGUACAGAAGGGGCAACUGGAAUUCUCGGUGUAGCGGUGAAAUGCGUAGAUAUCGAGAGGAACACCCGCGGCGAAGGCGGGUUGCUGGGCUGAUACUGACGCUGAGGCGCGAAAGCCAGGGGAGCGAACGGG